rnacentral:rRNA from 1 species
GACGAACGCUGGCGGCGUGCCUAAUACAUGCAAGUCGAACGAAGCUGUUUUAACUGGUGCUUGCACCGACUUAAACAACUGAGUGGCGAACGGGUGAGUAACACGUGGGUAACCUGCCCCAAAGCGGGGAUAACAUUUGGAAACAGAUGCUAAUACCGCAUAACCACAGAAACCACAUGGUUUCUGUGUCAAAGAUGGUUUCGGCUAUCACUUUGGGAUGGACCCGCGGCGUAUUAGCUAGUUGGUAAGGUAAUGGCUUACCAAGGCAAUGAUACGUAGCCGAACUGAGAGGUUGAUCGGCCACAUUGGGACUGAGACACGGCCCAAACUCCUACGGGAGGCAGCAGUAGGGAAUCUUCCACAAUGGACGAAAGUCUGAUGGAGCAGCGCCGCGUGAGUGAAGAAGGUUUUCGGAUCGUAAAACUCUGUUGUCAGAGAAGAACGUGUGCGAGAGUAACUGCUCGUGCAGUGACGGUAUCUGGCCAGAAAGCCACGGCUAACUACGUGCCAGCCGCCGCGGUAA